UACGUAGGGGGCAAGCGUUGUCCGGAUUUAUUGGGCGUAAAGAGCGUGUAGGCGGCUUUACAGGUCCGUUGUGAAAACUCGAGGCUCAACCUCGAGACGCCGGUGGAAACCGUAAAGCUAGAGUCCGGAAGAGGAGAGUGGAAUUCCCGGUGUAGCGGUGAAAUGUGUAGAGAUCGGGAGGAACACCGGUGGCGAAGGCGGGUCUCUGGGCCGUAACUGACGCUGAGGAGCGAAAGCAUGGGGAGCGAACAGG
rnacentral:rRNA from 1 species